CCCUUCUAUAUCCUAUCAAAAGCUCCUUCUGGGUCCUGAAAAUUUCAUUCUAAGUGGUCAUAGUGACAGUCUGUGCUUGAGGGAAGACAGGCUGUGCCGGGGGCACUUUCUGGAUCUGACUUAAGGAUCGAUGAGAGAGGAUCCAUCCCUUUGUGGAUUGUGCCAUCCUUAGCCUGGUGGUCCUGAGCAGUAUGAGAAAACAGGAUAAACAAGCUGCUGGAGCAAGCCAGAAAGCAGCACCCCUCCAUGGCCUCUGCAUCAGCUCCUGCCUCCAGGUUCCUGCCCUGCUUGAGUUCCUGCCCUGACUUAUUUCAGUAAUGGAGUAUAAUGUUGACGUGCUCCUUCGCAUGAACGUUUUCCUGUGUGGGUUUCUGUUUCUCCUGAGAUCGAAACAGAUGCCUGACCCUGUCAUUCACUUGGAGUUUGAGAAUGGACUUAACUGACCACCUAAUCUCAGAGCAGCAUCCACACUCACUCUCCAGCACAACAAUCUAGAGUCUCUGCAUGGGAUUUAACCCUGCUCAAUAGUUUUCUUGUUCAUUUGCUUCUUCUUAUCUUUCUUUAUAGGCCAUAAGAUUAUUUAUAGGUAUAAGCACUGAUGUUCCCAGUCUUUAGAAAAGUAGAACAUGUUAAUAGUAAACAAUUAUAAAUAUAAACAUAAUAAUGCUGACGGCUAAUGUUGGAAGAGAGAGUAAGAAUGGUUAUUAGACAUCUUCUCAGCCAUUUAAAGUACCUAAAACUACCCUCAUGCACACAUCCUUAUUUGUUUAUUAAGCCAUCAUCUAUACAUAUCUUUACUUAGAUGUAGUUGUGAAUGACCUUGGACUCCUCGCUCACCUGCCACCCACACUCCAAGAGCUACAAUCACAGCUGUACACAGCCAUGCCUGCUGUGCAGAGUGCUGGGGAGUCAGACCCAGGCCUUGGUGUAAACACCAUAAGCACACUAUUAGGAGAGUUGACUUUCCAUCUAUUAGUACAUGUAUUGUCUGUCACAUGUCCAACUGGAUACCAGAAGUCUAUCCUGAGUCAAAAGCGCCUUCUGAUUUAAAUCAGUUAUUUCCACCUUGCCUUCGAACAAAGUCAUAGCAAUUCUCAUUUUGAGUAAAUUUGCUUCCAGUAUCUUUACAACACAUCGCUUUAACUUAGAAACCCUACAUAAUUUAUAGCUUCAUAACUGUUAAGUUUUAACCACGUGGUCAAGUAUGGAAGUCUAGAUCCAACUGUUUAAUGGCUGCAGGCCCUGCAUCUACCAGGGCUGAGCAGCCAGAGGAGAUGUGCAGAGCCCUGCAAAGACCUGUGGUCAGCUCUGUAACAAUCAACAUGAUCUCCCUGGACAACAGUCAUCACAGUGUGAUUUUCAGUAAUGCAAAAACCUUAGUGUACAGUGGUUGGAUCAUGACAUAUGGAAGACACAAUGGCAAAAAGAGUCACCUUAUUCUAGAAGGUUUUCAGAUUCCAUGAGUUUGCUUAUUCCGCCUGCCCUGUAAGUCACUUAUACUGACAACCUGAGUUCUAGGCAGUAGCAUCUAGUAAAUAUCUCUGGCCAUUUACAUCUGUACAAAUAAUCCCAAAGACCGUGGAGCAACGUGGCAGUGUGCAGAAUCCUCUAACUUCUCUCUCAGUUUUACAUUGCUUUCCUUCCCUAGCACAACAGUGACCAACAAGAUUCACAAUCAACAGCCAAGAAGAAGCCAGAUGAGAAUAAAACAGAAAUAGCCACACACCCAACCUCACCAACGCACCAUUCUAAAAACCAUGCUAAUCUGCUCCAACUACGAAUAACUUGGAAUAGAAUAUCAACUGCCAGGCAGACAUUUGUCAUCUAGAUGCCGAAGACAUUCCCACAUCUCGCCAGUUUUACUCGAGAGCAGUAGGUUUUAGGAAAAUGAUCCAUUUCACAGAAAGACCAACUUAAAAUACAACCGUGCCGAGUGUCCGAAUACAGAGAGACGUGGUACUCACCACGGGGUGGCCAGUGCAGUAUGUAUAGCUGGCAUGAGACUGGUAGUGUAAGCUCGCUCUUGGGAAGGAGUAUG